GUCUACGGCCAUGCUACCGUUAACAAGCCCAAUCCUGUCUGAUCUCGGAAGUUAAGCAGGGUCGGGUCUGGUUAGUAGUACUUGGAUGGGAUACCACCUAGGAAGACCAGGUACCGUAGGCA
rnacentral:rRNA from 1 species